rnacentral:lncRNA from 1 species
CCAACCUCUCCAGUCAUACCACUUCAUGAUGUCCGAUCUAGAUUUUGGAGGUGGAUGUUACCUUAUCCAAUAUGCAGUCAGUUAUUCUCAGAGGUGGUGUGAUUUGAUGUGACCUCAUCCAAUGCGGAACUAGUCGUUGGAGUGGCGUGGUCCAACGUAGAGUGACAUGACUUGAUGAGAUUGUGUGGGGGUCAAUCUUUCCAAAUGUGGCAGCC